GAUGAACGCUAGCUACAGGCUUAACACAUGCAAGUCGAGGGGCAGCAUGGUCUUAGCUUGCUAAGGCCGAUGGCGACCGGCGCACGGGUGAGUAACACGUAUCCAACCUGCCGUCUACUCUCGGACAGCCUUCUGAAAGGAAGAUUAAUACAAGAUGGCAUAAUGAUUCCGCAUGGUUUCAUUAUUAAAGGAUUCCGGUAAAGGAUGGGGAUGCGUUCCAUUAGGUUGUUGGUGAGGUAACGGUCCACCAAGCCUUCGAUGGAUAGGGGUUCUGAGAGGAAGGUCCCCCACAUUGGAACUGAGACACGGUCCAA
rnacentral:rRNA from 1 species